AUUGAACGCUGGCGGCAGGCCUAACACAUGCAAGUCGAGCGAGCGGCGGACGGGUGAGUAAUGUCUGGGAAACUGCCUGAUGGAGGGGGAUAACUACUGGAAACGGUAGCUACUACCGCAUACCAUCAGAUGUGCCCAGAUGGGAUUGGCUAGUAGGUGGGGUAAUGGCUCACUUAGGCGACGAUCCCUAGCUGGUCUGAGAGGAUGACCAGCCACACUGGAACUGAGACAUGGUCCAGACUCCUACGGGAGGCAGGAGUGGGGAAUAGUGCACAAUGGGCGCAAGCCUGAUGCAGCCAUGCCGCGUGUGUGAGGAAGGCCUUCGGGUUGUAAAGCACUUUCAGCGAGGAGGCGUUACUCGAAGAAGAAGCACCGGCUAACUCCGUGCCAGCAGCCGCGGUAAUAC
rnacentral:rRNA from 1 species